GUAUAUUAAUGUUGUUGCAGUUAAAAAGCUCGUAGUUGGAUUUCUAGCUGACUUGCGUGGUCCGGUAGCAUUGCUUCUGAGUACCGCUGUAAGUCAUCUAUCCCAUCAGUUUAUUUGGGUUACGGCCCAGGUUGACUGGUUCUUUUACUUUGAAAAAAUUAGAGUGUUUAAAGCAGGCUUGCGCAAUGAAUACAUUAGCAUGGAAUAAUAACAUAGGACUUCGGUCUCUAUUUUGUUGGUUUCUAGAACUGAAGUAAUGAUUGAUAGGGAUAGUGGGGGGUGCUAGUAUUCAGCGGCCAGAGAUGAAAUUCUCGGAUUCGCUGAAGACUAACUUAUGCGAAAGCAUUCACCAAGGAUGUCUUCUUUAAUCAAGAACGAGAGUUGGGGGAUCGAAGACGAUCAGAUACCGUCGUAGUCUCAACCAUAAACUAUACCGACUAAGGAUGAGUGACCGUUGCUUUUUCGACUUCAUUCGCACUUUAUGAGAAAUCAAAGUCUUUGGGUUCCGGGGGGAGUAUGGUCGCAAGGCUGAAACUUAAAGGAAUUGAC
rnacentral:rRNA from 1 species